GAUCCUGGCUCAGAUUGAACGUUGGCGGCAGGCCUAACACAUGCAAGUCGAGCGGGGUUUUCGGACCUAGCGGCGGACGGGUGAGUAAUGCGUAGGAAGCUACCCGACAGAGGGGGAUACCAGUUGGAAACGACUGUUAAUACCGCAUAAUGUCUACGGACCAAAGUGUGGGACCUUCGGGCCACAUGCUGUCGGAUGCGCCUACGUGGGAUUAGCUAGUUGGUGAGGUAAUGGCUCACCAAGGCGACGAUCCCUAGCUGGUUUGAGAGGAUGAUCAGCCACACUGGAACUGAGACACGGUCCCAGACUCCUACGGGAGGCAGCAGUGGGGAAUAUUGGACAAUGGGCGCAAGCCUGAUCCAGCCAUGCCGCGUGUGUGAAGAAGGCCUUCGGGUUGUAAAGCACUUUCAGCGAGGAGGAAGGGUUGUGUGUUAAUAGCACAUAGCCUUGACGUUACUCGCAGAAGAAGCACCGGCUAACUCUGUG
rnacentral:rRNA from 1 species